AGUCAUACUGUUGAACCAAGGGACAUGACUUCACUCUUUUUUAAAUUGAUUUUGAUCUGAUGCAUGCUUAGUUUAGAUUACUUUAGAAGGUUCAGCAAGCUUUAGCAUGCUAGGAAUAAUUCAGUGAUAGUUGAAGUUUCAAUCAUGAUUGUUUAUGUAUCUAAUAAUAUAACUUAGUCAUAUCUAAGGAAAUCUUGCCACAAAAACUGUAGCUUGGCUGCACGAAUCUCUCUGCAGCUUAUUAUUUGCAGUUUAUUUUUAGAGAGUAAGAACGUUUUGCUGAAAAUAGAGUGCAGUCAUUGAUACCUCAUAUCUGCUACAAGCCUUUAAGUUUAAGAGAAACAUGGUAUUCACUAUACUGAUUUUUUUUUCUUUCUGAUUGUAUUGGUAGGAAGGUCCGCCCCACGCCUGGCUCCACGUCCUGCUCCAGUGAGGAACCGACCAUAGCCAGAUGGCUCGGUGGAAGCAAUGCUUUAAUUUAGAUGAAUAAAGUCUGGACACUUUUGUAGCGUUUGUUGGACAUUUCGGCUUUUAUGUUGCCACACAAAGACCUCAAAUGGACUCUACUGAGUAUUUCUAGCAUCUAUAGUUGUGCAUAGACUUGAUUUCAUAUUCUAAAAUGGCUAUGUAUUUGUAUGGAGAAAGACUUAUUCCUUGCAAAGGGUUUGGUGGAAGCAACAUGAUUUCAGACAAGUGAAGUGUGGUCACUUCUAGUAGUGAAGAGACUCAUAUUUUGUUCUUUUUUUACUGUUUAGAAUCUGUGGAUGGAGACAAAUUUGUGAUGUAUGUAUUAGGUUGUUUAGAUAUUGUUAUUACUUAUUAGAUGGCACCUGAAUCAAACUUUUGCAUGAAUAUGACUCUUAUUUCUGAUGCA